UACGUAGGGGGCAAGCGUUGUCCGGAUUUAUUGGGCGUAAAGGGUGUGUAGGUGGCGCGGUAAGUCGGGUGUGAAAUUUCGGAGCUUAACUCCGAAACUGCAUUCGAUACUGCGGUGCUUGAGGACUGGAGAGGAGACUGGAAUUCAUGGUGUAGCAGUGAAAUGCGUAGAGAUCAUGAGGAAGACCAGUGGCGAAGGCGGGUCUCUGGACCACAACUGACGCUGAGGCGCGAAAGCUAGGGGAGCAAACAGG
rnacentral:rRNA from 1 species